rnacentral:lncRNA from 1 species
AAAUCAAUUUUAGGGGUACUAAAUUAUGACUUAUGGAUUUAAAUAUACUUUGAACGCCUGAAAAGAUAUACACCAUUAAAAAAUACACAUAAUACAAUAGUAUCUAUGUCUGUAAUUAUCAAAUUGUGGACCUAAUACGUUCCCACUGUCGUUCAUACACAGGUAAAUUUAUACACAGCCCAUCUGUUAAACUGUCCCAUUGUCUGUUCGGAGCAUCAUUUAACCUUCACCAUCGAAGAUGUAUGCUGCUGUGUUCCUUCUACUCGCUCUAUUUUCCCAAUUAAUGCCUUUGUAUAGAUGCGAAGAAGAUAGAGACUAUGUGUCUGUAUCUUCUCUGCCUGGUCCAAAUCCUCCCCAAAUACCGUGUGAAUACGAACUUAACUAUGCAGAUUACUUAUAUUGUAAUGCAAGAAACAUUUAUAAUAAGAUAAAGGCUCGAAUAUUUGAGUAAUGCAUUCGUAAUUAAAUAUUUCAGAAAGAAUAAUUGAAUUUAUUCACUUAUCUUCUGUAAAAUUUAAAAAUAAUAAUAAUAAUAAUAAUAAUAAAUGUAUUGUUUAUUAAAUACGA